UCCAGAGGAAGAUGGCACAGAAUAUCAGAUUUGCCCAAAUGAGAUUCCUCUCUCUAGAAGACUGGCCUUUUAUGUCCUACCUGCUUUGGUAGUUCUGGGUGACUACAAACAGAAAUGAAAAGAUCAACAACUCCCAAGUGGAAGAAACUUUUUGACAUUAGAAAGAAGUGCUCAGUUACAUAUCAAAGCCACAGUGAUAUGGACCAACAUUGCUGCUGGGAAUGCAAAAUGGGUACAGCCAUUGUGGAAGGUUGUUUGGAAGUUUCUUACAAAACUAAACACACCCUCACUGUAUCAUUCUGCAGUCACACCACUUGGUAUACAAAUGGGUUGAAAAUUCAUGUCUAUACAAAUACCUGCUCAAGGAUGUUUGGAACAGCUUUAAACUGGGAAGCAUCUAAGAUGUCCUCCAGUGGGUGAUUGGAUAAAUAAACUUGUGUGUCCAUCCAGACAGUGGGGCUGUUAUUCCUUACUAAAGAUAAAUGAGCUAUCAAACCAUAAAAAGACAUGAAGCAACCUUGAAUGCAUAUGAUUAAGUGGAAAAAGCCAAUCUAAAAAAGAUUCACAAAAAUAAAAUAAAAAAUCAAAAGGC